rnacentral:rRNA from 1 species
UACGAGGGGGGCAAGCGUUGUUCGGAAUUAUUGGGGUCGUAAAGGGUGCGUAGGCGGUUUUGUAAGUCUUGUGUGAAAUCUUCAGGCUCAACAUUUGAGACUGCACGAGAAACUGCAGGGCUUGAGUGUGGGAGAGGUGAGUGGAAUUCCUGGUGUAGCGGUGAAAUGCGUAGAUAUCAGGAGGAACACCUGUGCGAAAGCGGCUCACUGGACCGACAACUGACGCUGAUGCACGAAAGCUAGGGGAGCGAAACAGGAUUAGACUA